rnacentral:lncRNA from 1 species
UAUUACAAACCUUUUUAAGGUCUCUAGCUCAAAUUUCGUAUUUUUGGUACAAAAUUACCAAUAAAAUAGCUCUUCAAAACGAAGAACAUUAUUCCUUGAUAUAUUUAUAAGUUUGUAUGUAUUUUGAAGAGAAAAAAAUGUUCGAAAACAUGAUGGUACGCCAUUGUAGUGGAGAUUUACCAUCUAAUAUUUGAGAGUCAUACAUGCAUAACUUUUUGAGAUUUUAGUUUAAAAAACCAAGUGUAUUGAUUUUGUUGUACACCUUAUAUAGAGGGUGAUGUUAACAAACUGUACCAUAAGUGGUGAGAUUUGUCAGAUACAAGAUGGAAGCUUGGUUUGACACAAUAGGAUUGUGUGUAGUUUAGCUAUGUCUGGUUUCCCCCCUUUGUUUCUCUUUCUUGAAGCUAAACUUCAGAAUUGAAAUGUGUUCCAUUAUUUGUUGACCCUGAGAUGAUCAGGGGCGAAAAGAGACUCAAGUAGACCUGUAGGGUUUAAAAGUUUCUUUCGGGUGUUUUUUGUAGUUACUUCAGAAGAUCAGAGAAGUAGGUAAUAUGUGUUCGUGCCAGGAGCUUUAAGAAUGUUAAUUUUGAUUACCUUGGGUCCUCAAGUUUAACAUGUUUCGGAGGGAUUUAUUUACUCAAUUGGAUUAUUUCUGUGAAGAAAUUCAAACUUUGUGGAAAUCUGUUGAGGUGGUACAAUAGGAAUUUAUUUUAUUAAUAUUUGUAUUUAUGGUUACAUUCAGAAUUCUGAUUUUUGAGUUUGUGUUUAUAUAUGCUUCAUCCUUUCAUGGUUUUUAGUUAUUUUCCCCCUUGUUUUUUAGUAUAGGAAUUUUUGUUAAGCAUACUCUUUGCAUAUAUUUCCAUGUUUAUUGGCAUUAGUAUUUGAAAGCAUAUGCUCUCUGUAGGCAUGAAGUGGAUUUCAUGGCACUGGUUGGCUUGCCUGCAUUGAUUACCAUAUGAAAUGUGUUGAAAAUUCUGUGCUAAUAAGCAGAAUCAAUUAAUCUCCAGCAAGUGUCACUGGAGAGGAAAAUGCUACUAAUGCUCUUCUAAGUGUGUUUAUUAUUUGCCAUCAUGUCUAAAGUUAUUCUUAUAAUUUAUUUGUGAAUAUAUAUUUACCAAUUCCAAUUCUUGUUAUUUGGGCUUUUUGUUAUGUUUUUUUUCCAAGUACAAAAGGUGUCCUUCUCUCAAAAGAGUAAAGACUCGGAAAAUGAUACAUAUUAGGAGUGUUUCAAGUCUCUUUUUUGAUUGACAGCAACAUAUUUUUGUAAUAAAUGGAAUAUUUUUAUAAUUUUAUCUACUCACUUGUAUUGAUAUGUUUUAUAAUUAUAAUUUAAUACAAAUUUAUUGCAAUAUGUAGCUGGAGACUCCCCUCAAUUUUACUCCUAAUACUCAUAUUCUCUCUCUCUGUAUAUUUAAUUUAAUCAGUACAACUCCAGGAAUUAAUACUGAUGGGACAGCCACACAAAAGCUAAAGAAAAAGUUAAAAACCCAAACCACCGGAGGCAUUAACUCUAGUAAUAUUCCACUCAUCUUCCUCAUCAAACUCCAAGGAAGAACAUAAUGAUGAUGAAUAAAGGAUUCCAGACAGAAUGGGGUUCAUGGAGACUGGUAGUGAUGAUCAAAUAUCUAACCACACCAUUUUACAUUGUGAUGCCUCGUGCGACCUGAAGACGACGCCUGCUAACUAUUUUAUUUGUUAUAUAUUAUACAAUUAUAAUAAUUUAAUUAAUUAAAAUUAAAUAAAUUCAUAUUAAUUUAAAUUUUAACAUGCAAUCUUUUAACUUCAAAAGUCAAAUUGUAUUUUAUAUUUUGGAACCAAAGGAAUAACUACCUACCGUACCUACAUUUAGGGCUUAAUUGCAUUACAACUCUAUAAAUUAGGGAAAUGUACAUAUAAUUAAGUUGGUUAAAAUGGAAAAAGAAAUGAAAGUUGUACAAAAUGUUUGUAGUCAUAAUUUUGAAGGUCUCCCCUCCCCCUCUUUCUAGAAUCUUGGAGUGAUUAACAAGAUUUUUGAUUAAGCAUCGAUUGAGUUUUGGCACUUGCCGAUAUUCCUACAAAGAAAACUCAUGCUAUUCUUGUAAAUACAAGGAUUAUAUAAUCCUAUGAUUAUAAUUUUAAAAUUAUAAUUAUAAUUUAAAAACUAUUAAGUCAUUUUAUAAUAUCUAGAUAGACUAAUAGUUCUAAGUCUAAAAUUGAAAACAAACAAGACACUUAAAUUAAUAAUCAUAUCCCAAAUAUAAUCGCACCAAAACAAACAUAGCCUAACCUAGAGUUUUAUCAAAACUGAUGAAAGGACUUCAUGCAAUACCCGAAAAAUGACAUACAAGAUCCACGCUCAACUUAAAUUAUUGUGUGCAAAAGCGUUGCUUUUAAUUUUUAUAAACAAUGUUUACAAACUAGACACAUUUUAAUAAUCAAUCAAGAGGGAAAGCCCAGACCACAGACCAUGGAAAAAUUAAUAUAGACCGCUACAGAACCACUAUACCGUUCAGUGUGUGUAUAUAUUUGUCCGCCGAACAAACUAAGAACGACGUCGCUCCCUAUGAUUCGCCGGAAAAGCUGACUAUAUAUAUAUAUGUACAAUGUAACUUCUCGACUUGGUGUACACAGAAAUUAGAUAUCAUAAAUCCGGAAAAGUUUAUUGCAUACAAGGUUAUUUCACAGAAAAAUAAUAUUUUCCGAAAUGAUGUGCUACCAAGUAAUAUUUUUCAUGGUAACAUGCUCAAGUAAAGGCAAGUUUCAGCUAGAUUACCACGUGGGACAUGCCCUAGAAUUAAAAUAAUUGUAUAAGAUACUUCAAAAAAAAACAAAAACAAAGAAAGCUGACUCCGUAGGUUCUGGACCAUGUAAAAACCAAUGUACCACUUAGCAAGGGACUGAAGUCAACAGCAAAGCACAACAUAACUACACAACUUCCGGAGAAUUUUAUACCUUGUGCUAUUAUUAGUUGAUAGUGAACACAAUCUUCGUUCCCCAGAAGCACAAAACUCAUCAACGGAUUGAUAGAAACCAAGUAUUACUGAAUUAUUAGAAGUAACAAAACUUCAAAGCAAAUGUUAGCCAAAAAAUAAUCAUAAAGAAGUCUGAGAUAGCAUUAAAACAGCAGUAUUCAAAACUUCCUAAGAGUGAAGCUACCAACUACAUUCAGGGAAGAACAACAUUAUGCAGUAAAGAUCAAAAACUCUUAAGCCAUGGUUCAAAUAUCAUCAUUAAGAACUAAUCAUUAAUAGGACUCAUUCGUCAUCUUCUUCAUCCCCAGCUCCACCAGCAGCCUUCUUUGCAGCGGCCUUCUGGUUCCUUCUCUUCACUCUCCCAGGACGUCCACCACCAAAAGGACUUGUAAGUGAGAAAUCGAUAUGCUUCUGAGAGUCCACCCUCACCAUGAAUGAGGCAACGUUAACCACCUGUCUUCCAACCCUAGUGUAUUCAAAAAAGGUUGGGGAUAAGGAUUGGUAAGCAUAACCAAGAGAAAAGUGCAUGAAAGGAACCAAGUAGGGGAGCAUUUUCCUCCCAAACUACCACAAGAAAAAUGUAGAACUUUCUUUCAGUAUUUUUCUCUAAAGCAACAAGUCUCAUUCAUUUCACAUACAAUAAUACUAUUAUACAGUGAUUUAUACUCAAUAUCAUUGUUAUUUAAGGUGCACCAACGCGCAAAGGUCUCCUUGGGGCCUGGGCUCAAGGCUUAUCGAAGUGAGGUGAACAUAUUUUUUUAAAAAUUAAAAUAUAUAUACACAUUUAAUCAUUUGUGUCAAAUUUAUCAACCAUCAAGUAAUUUUACAAUCUUCUAAGCAUGUUCAAAAGGUUUCUAUAACAAGUUCAAGGACCAUACCUCUGUAAUAUAGUGAUACAAUGACAAAAUCAUAUCAUAAUUACAUUCUUCACAAGUAGAUAGUUAAAUACUUAGAAUCUUACAUAUAUAUUUAAGUAGUAAACGCUGAACAUAAUAUAACUGCAUAUUUAAAUAUUUAAAAAAUACUUACAAGUUAGGGGUUAAUAAAGCUACACAAAGCUACACAGAUGUGUAGACUCCCAAAUAUACACAGUCUACGAUCGUAGAAUUAAGUCACUCUACGAUCGUAGAAUAGUCACUCUACGAUCUGAAGAUUCACUCUACAUUUUACGGUAGUAGGAUGACUACUCUACGAUCGUAGUGUGAUUUAACUCUACGAUUGUAGAUUGUAUACAUUUAAAACUUGCACAGCUGUUUACCUGUAUUUUUUCCUAUAAGUUAUAUACACAUUUAAUUAUUUAAUAAGUUGGUAAUGGUAGUAAAGUACCCGAAUUUUUUGAAAAAAAAUUGGGCAACAUAACCCCCAUAUUAUUUUGCAAAAUACUCUUUUUAGGGCAAGAGCAAAGAAUUAAAAAUAGGAAAAGAGAUAAGGGCGAGACUUGAUGGUCUAGAUUGCUUAGAAUAAAAAAAUUACACAACUUCGAUGAGGCCCACACCUCGUGCACACCUCAUUGAAGGAGCCUCCCCUCUGGCGAGGCGACCAACGCUGCUCCAUAUCACUCAUGGAAACCAUGUUUGUGGCGCAGAUUAAACAUUCAAAAAGCAUAAUUAGAAACAAUGUUUUGUAGUAUAUUUUUUUCCAAAUUAUUGUUCAAUAUUUCAAGUGCAGUUUUAAAUAAAGUAAUCUAUUAAAUCAAAUAUGUCAACGAUACUUCUUGAACCCCAUGCCACAAAAAAGCACUAUUUCCAACCAUGCUAUUCAUAAUGAAACGAAGUGAUUAAUUAAUUUUGCACUCUCUCAAUCAUACAUGAGGACGGGAUGUUUUUCACUCCUAAGGGAGGAAUCCGUAUGGUUCAUAACUUCGGCAGACUUGAUUAUUGUACAAGUCUUUCAUGUAAUGUUGAUAAUUGUUGGUUCAAAAGUUUUCAGAAAUAUGUUUAUUCUAUAGCUAUUAAACUCGUACACAGGUUAUAAGAAGUGUGACAAAAAUAUAAUAUAAAGCACAUUUUAAUAUUUACAGUUUGAGCUUAUACUGCAAAGAAAAUCAGCAGGUAGAAGGGCUGACCGGGCUACAAGAUCAAACUUUUAAAGUGUCUGACUGUGUGUUAUAUACAAUGUCUGGGUGGUCAUGGGCUACAUAAUAUUAAAACAAUAUGAUAUAGUUACUGAAGUUUAAUUAAAUAUUACAAAAAGCAAUACUAGCAACCAAUCAGUAAGAUUAUUGCUGAUAUAUACAAUGAAAACGAUAAAGCAGCAAGUUCAAAGAGACAAACCUCUGACUUCCUAACUAAUUAUGAAAGCAGAAAUGUGAUUCGCUAAUGUAAUUAAAGAAAUUUAAUUAGACAGGAUAGUCCAAUUCACAGUGUCAAUCAACUAUUAAGGUACUUUAUAUUCAGGAAGACAAGCAUAUCUAACACACAUAUAUAAAUAAGCAAGUACACAAGUACAAAAUAAGUACUACAAUGUUUUUCCUUCUACCAUUUCAUUGUGAAACUUCAUAUACUAUAUAACUAAUUAGACUUUAUGAAACUAAUAUUGCAGAGCAACAGACAGAAGAAACUUAAAAGUAGAAAAGUAUUUGAAGUACAAGUUUACAGAAUACAAAAUGAAUGCAUCAUAUGCUUUAUGCCUGUAAGUAACUGCAAGUUUGGGUAUUUAUACCUGAUAUGCCUCUGCCUAAUCAGCACUCUGGCAUGGUGGAUUGACUUAGCCAUGCCUGUCUUGAAAACAAGUGUUUGGAGGCGGCGCUCGAGAAAGUUCUCCACAGUGAGGGCCAGCACAUAAUCAAGCUUAUUCUGGCUCUCGUCCAGCAGCCCAUACCUGUUCAUCCUCCUCAGAAGGGCUUCACCCUCAAAAAUACGACGUGGGUCCUUCUCAUCAAGUGUCAAAAGAUUUCUUGC